AUAAUGGGUCAGCGACUUAUAUUCUGUAGCAAGGUUAACCGAAUAGGGGAGCCGAAGGGAAACCGAGUCUUAACUGGGCGUUAAGUUGCAGGGUAUAGACCCGAAACCCGGUGAUCUAGCCAUGGGCAGGUUGAAGGUUGGGUAACACUAACUGGAGGACCGAACCGACUAAUGUUGAAAAAUUAGCGGAUGACUUGUGGCUGGGGGUGAAAGGCCAAUCAAACCGGGAGAUAGCUGGUUCUCCCCGAAAGCUAUUUAGGUAGCGCCUCGUGAAUUCAUCUCCGGGGGUAGAGCACUGUUUCGGCAAGGGGGUCAUCCCGACUUACCAACCCGAUGCAAACUGCGAAUACCGGAGAAUGUUAUCACGGGAGACACACGGCGGGUGCUAACGUCCGUCGUGAAGAGGGAAACAACCCAGACCGCCAGCUAAGGUCCCAAAGUCAUGGUUAAGUGGGAAACGAUGUGGGAAGGCCCAGACAGCCAGGAUGUUGGCUUAGAAGCAGCCAUCAUUUAAAGAAAGCGUAAUAGCUCACUGGUCGAGUCGGCCUGCGCGGAAGAUGUAACGGGGCUAAACCAUGCACCGAAGCUGCGGCAGCGACGCUGAUGCGUUGUUGGGUAGGGGAGCGUUCUGUAAGCCUGUGAAGGUGUGCUGUGAGGCAUGCUGGAGGUAUCAGAAGUGCGAAUGCUGACAUAAGUAACGAUAAAGCGGGUGAAAAGCCCGCUCGCCGGAAGACCAAGGGUUCCUGUCCAACGUUAAUCGGGGCAGGGUGAGUCGACCCCUAAGGCGAGGCCGAAAGGCGUAGUCGAUGGGAAACAGGUUAAUAUUCCUGUACUUGGUGUUACUGCGAAGGGGGGACGGAGAAGGCUAUGUUGGCCGGGCGACGGUUGUCCCGGUUUAAGCGUGUAGGCUGGUUUUCCAGGCAAAUCCGGAAAACUAAGGCUGAGGCGUGAUGACGAGGCACUACGGUGCUGAAGCAACAAAUGCCCUGCUUCCAGGAAAAGCCUCUAAGCAUCAGGUAACAUCAAAUCGUACCCCAAACCGACACAGGUGGUCAGGUAGAGAAUACCAAGGCGCUUGAGAGAACUCGGGUGAAGGAACUAGGCAAAAUGGUGCCGUAACUUCGGGAGAAGGCACGCUGAUAUGUAGGUGAAGUCCCUCGCGGAUGGAGCUGAAAUCAGUCGAAGAUACCAGCUGGCUGCAACUGUUUAUUAAAAACACAGCACUGUGCAAACACGAAAGUGGACGUAUACGGUGUGACGCCUGCCCGGUGCCGGAAGGUUAAUUGAUGGGGUCAGCGCAAGCGAAGCUCUUGAUCGAAGCCCCGGUAAACGGCGGCCGUAACUAUAACGGUCCUAAGGUAGCGAAAUUCCUUGUCGGGUAAGUUCCGACCUGCACGAAUGGCGUAAUGAUGGCCAGGCUGUCUCCACCCGAGACUCAGUGAAAUUGAACUCGCUGUGAAGAUGCAGUGUACCCGCGGCAAGACGGAAAGACCCCGUGAACCUUUACUAUAGCUUGACACUGAACAUUGAGCCUUGAUGUGUAGGAUAGGUGGGAGGCUUUGAAGUGUGGACGCCAGUCUGCAUGGAGCCGACCUUGAAAUACCACCCUUUAAUGUUUGAUGUUCUAACGUUGACCCGUAAUCCGGGUUGCGGACAGUGUCUGGUGGGUAGUUUGACUGGGGCGGUCUCCUCCUAAAGAGUAACGGAGGAGCACGAAGGUUGGCUAAUCCUGGUCGGACAUCAGGAGGUUAGUGCAAUGGCAUAAGCCAGCUUGACUGCGAGCGUGACGGCGCGAGCAGGUG
rnacentral:rRNA from 1 species